UACGUAGGGUGCGAGCGUUAAUCGGAAUUACUGGGCGUAAAGCGUGCGCAGGCGGUUAUAUAAGACAGAUGUGAAAUCCCCGGGCUCAACCUGGGACCUGCAUUUGUGACUGUAUAGCUAGAGUACGGUAGAGGGGGAUGGAAUUCCGCGUGUAGCAGUGAAAUGCGUAGGUAUGCGGAGGAACACCGAUGGCGAAGGCAAUCCCCUGGACCUGUACUGACGCUCAUGCACGAAAGCGUGGGGAGCAAACAGG
rnacentral:rRNA from 1 species